AGGCGGACACCCUGAUAUAGUCGAGGGGCAUAUGCAUGGGGUUUUGACAUAAGAAGUUGGCAGAGCCACUUGAAUGCCCUGACGUGGCCUGAAAUACUGCGGCAGUUUGCACUUUCUGCUGGUUUUGGACCCAAGCUAAAGAAACAAAGUGUUGAACCAGCUUAUCCACGUGAUGAAAAUGAGUGUAAUAAUGGGGCAGAUAUCAUUUCCAACUUACGAAGUGGAGUUGCUGCUGAG
rnacentral:misc_RNA from 1 species